rnacentral:rRNA from 1 species
GUAGGGGGCAAGCGUUGUCCGGAUUUACUGGGCGUAAAGCGCGCGUAGGCGGAAGCUCAAGUCUGGCCUGAAAGCCCCCGGCUCAACCGGGGAGUGGGGCUGGAAACUGGGUUUCUUGAGGGCGAUAGAGGAGUGUGGAAUUCCUGGUGUAGCGGUGAAAUGCGUAGAGAUCAGGAGGAACACCCGUGGCGAAGGCGGCACUCUGGGUCGGCCCUGACGCUGAGGCGCGAAAGCGUGGGGAGCGAACGGGAUUAGAUACCCCGGUAGUCCACGCCGUAAACGAUGGUCACUAGGUGUGUGCGGUAUCGACCCCGCACGUGCCGCAGCUAACGCAAUAAGUGACCCGCCUGGGGAGUACGGCCGCAAGGUUG